GGGGGACUGGUCUAUCGGCUACGACGGCGGUCUCCAAAACCGCAAAGCGAGGUUCGACUCCUCGGUUCCCCG
rnacentral:tRNA from 1 species